AACGAACGCUGGCGGCAGGCCUAACACAUGCAAGUCGAGCGAGGACUUCGGUCCUAGCGGCGGACGGGUGAGUAACGCGUGGGAACGUGCCCUUUGCUUCGGAAUAGCCCUGGGAAACUGGGAGUAAUACCGGAUGAGCACUUUGGGGGAAAGAUUUAUCGGCGAAGGAUCGGCCCGCGUUGGAUUAGGUAGUUGGUGGGGUAAUGGCCUACCAAGCCGACGAUCCAUAGCUGGUUUGAGAGGAUGAGCAGCCACACUGGGACUGAGACACGGCCCAGACUCCUACGGGAGGCAGCAGUGGGGAAUCUUAGACAAUGGGGGAAACCCUGAUCGAGCCAUGCCGCGUGAGCGAUGAAGGCCUGAGGGUUGUAAAGCUCUUUCAGCUGGGAAGAUAAUGACGGUACCAGCAGAAGAAGCCCCGGCUAACUCCGUG
rnacentral:rRNA from 1 species